CAUGGUAAUGGUACCCAAAGCUCUCAUCCAUCAAAUAUGCCUCCCUAGCAUCUCAAUCCAUCAUUUUGAUCAAAUCCAGUCAAAGGGUUUGAGGUUGGUACCCCAAGGAAACCCUAAUUCAUCUGUGUACCACAAUGCCUUGCUCUUGAAGCAACCUCAGCCCAUGAUCAAAUACAAUCAAGGUAAGUUCUUUAAUUCAUAAUUUCAUGCAUAUUU
rnacentral:lncRNA from 1 species